UCCCUGGAGGACUAGUGGUUAGGCCUCGGCACUCUCACCUCCAUGGCCCAGGUUUGAUUCCCGGCCAGGGAA
rnacentral:tRNA from 1 species